rfam:Treponema saccharophilum DSM 2985 Tsacc_Contig240, whole genome shotgun sequence.
GCCGCUGUAGCUCAGUUGGUAGAGCAAUGGACUGAAAAUCCAUGUGUCGUUGGUCCGAUUCCAACCGGUGGCA